rnacentral:rRNA from 1 species
CAGCGCGGGGCAACCUGGCGGCGAGUGGCGAACGGGUGAGUAAUAUAUCGGAACGUACCCUGGAGUGGGGGAUAACGUAGCGAAAGUUACGCUAAUACCGCAUACGAUCUAAGGAUGAAAGUGGGGGAUUCGCAAGAACCUCAUGCUCCUGGAGCGGCCGAUAUCUGAUUAGCUAGUUGGUAGGGUAAAAGCCUACCAAGGCAUCGAUCAGUAGCUGGUCUGAGAGGACGACCAGCCACACUGGAACUGAGACACGGUCCAGACUCCUACGGGAGGCAGCAGUGGGGAAUUUUGGACAAUGGGCGCAAGCCUGAUCCAGCAAUGCCGCGUGAGUGAAGAAGGCCUUCGGGUUGUAAAGCUCUUUUGUCAGGGAAGAAACGGGCCUUUCUAAUACAGAGCCCUAAUGACGGUACCUGAAGAAUAAGCACCGGCUAACUACGUGCCAGCAGCCGCGGUAAUACGUAGGGUGCAAGCGUUAAUCGGAAUUACUGGGCGUAAAGCGUGCGCAGGCGGUUUUGUAAGACUGUCGUGAAAUCCCCGGGCUCAACCUGGGAAUGGCGAUGGUGACUGCAAGGCUAGAGUUUGGCAGAGGGGGGUAGAAUUCCACGUGUAGCAGUGAAAUGCGUAGAUAUGUGGAGGAACACCGAUGGCGAAGGCAGCCCCCUGGGUCAAAACUGACGCUCAUGCACGAAAGCGUGGGGAGCAAACAGGAUUAGAUACCCUGGUAGUCCACGCCCUAAACGAUGUCUACUAGUUGUCGGGUUUUAAUUAACUUGGUAACGCAGCUAACGCGUGAAGUAGACCGCCUGGGGAGUACGGUCGCAAGAUUAAAACUCAAAGGAAUUGACGGGGACCCGCACAAGCGGUGGAUGAUGUGGAUUAAUUCGAUGCAACGCGAAAAACCUUACCUACCCUUGACAUGGCAGAAAUCCCGGAGAGAUUCGGGAGUGCUCGAAAGAGAAUCUGCACACAGGUGCUGCAUGGCUGUCGUCAGCUCGUGUCGUGAGAUGUUGGGUUAAGUCCCGCAACGAGCGCAACCCUUGUCAUUAGUUGCUACGAAAGAGCACUCUAAUGAGACUGCCGGUGACAAACCGGAGGAAGGUGGGGAUGACGUCAAGUCCUCAUGGCCCUUAUGGGUAGGGCUUCACACGUCAUACAAUGGUACAUACAGAGGGCCGCCAACCCGCGAGGGGGAGCUAAUCCCAGAAAGUGUAUCGUAGUCCGGAUUGUAGUCUGCAACUCGACUGCAUGAAGUUGGAAUCGCUAGUAAUCGCGGAUCAGCAUGUCGCGGUGAAUACGUUCCCGGGUCUUGUACACACCGCCCGUCACACCAUGGGAGCGGGUUUUACCAGAAGUAGGUAG